rnacentral:rRNA from 1 species
UCAGUACGGUCGGAAAUCGUACGUAGAGUGUAAAGGCAAAAGAGAGCUUGAUUGCAAGACAUACAGGUCGAGCAAGGCUGAAAAUCGGACUUAGUGAUCCGGUGGUUCUGCGUGGAAGGGCCAUCGCCCAACGGAUAAAAGCUACCCUGGGGAUAACAGGCUUAUCCCCCCCAAGAGUCCACAUCGACGGGGAGGUUUGGCACCU